UGCUGUCUCUGGAGGCGGGGGCAGAGGAGGACCGUUGUCUGCAGCUGGUGCUGGUGAAGUAGGACAAGUCCUUCUGCUUUCGCAGCUCACUGCCCAGGACUCUGUGAUAGACGGCCUUAAAGCUGAGAGGAAGAUCUGGGGACAGGAGCUGGCUCAACAAGGAGCGUCUCUGUCCCAGGACUGGGGUCAUCUGGAGGCGGCACUGAACUGGAGAGUCAGAGGAAACAGAACGAGCGAGACAACGACGCCCUGAGGAUCAAAGUCAAGGUCAUCGACGACCAGACCGAGACCAUCAGCAAACUCAGAGAAUGCCAACCCCCAGGCGACGACCAGCCUGGCGACGCAGCAAUCGUUGGUUGGCACUGCAACAGGCGUCCAGCAGCAGCAAGGGGUUCUGGGAGGACACUCAGGCCAAGAGCUCCAGUCCAUGCUGGAA